CACUUUCAGUAGGGAGGAAGGUAGUGUAGUUAACACCUGCAUUAUUUGACGUUACCUACAGAAGAAGCACCGGCUAACUCCGUGCCAGCAGCCGCGGUAAUACGGAGGGUGCGAGCGUUAAUCGGAAUUACUGGGCGUAAAGCGCAUGCAGGCGGCCUGUUAAGUCAGAUGUGAAAGCCCGGGGCUUAACCUCGGAAUUGCAUUUGAAACUGGCAGGCUAGAGUCUUGUAGAGGGGGUAGAAUUUCAGGUGUAGCGGUGAAAUGCGUAGAGAUCUGAAGGAAUACCAGUGGCGAAGGCGGCCCCCUGGACAAAGACUGACGCUCAGAUGCGAAAGCGUGGGGAGCAAACAGGAUUAGAUACCCUUGGUAG
rnacentral:rRNA from 1 species